rnacentral:rRNA from 1 species
CCCUUCGAUGUUCUGGGCUGCACACGUGCUACACUGGCAGGUUCAGCGAGCUUCAUGCCCUGAUCUGAAAGGAAUGGGAAAUCUUUUCAAAACCUGCCGUGCUUGGGAUAGAUGUUUGCAAUUAUUCAUCUUCAACGAGGAUUGCCUUGUAAGCGCACGUCAUCAGCGUGCAUUGAAUACGACCCUGUAUUCUGUACACACCGCCCGUCGCUCCUACCGAUUGAAGUUUUCGGUGAGUUGACAGGAGGAUUUUUUUGAAACUGGUUCGCCAGUGGAUUUUAGAUCCAAAUGCCAACGAAUCGAUGGCUUUAGAGGAAGGAGAAGUCGUAACA